GGAUUGUGGCUCAGUGGUAGAUCCCUCGCCUAGCGUGUGUGAGGCCCUGGAUUCGAUCCUCAGCACCA
rnacentral:tRNA from 1 species